GGAUUUUUACGGCCUCCGGGGCGCUCUAGCAGGAAGCAAGAGCGAGACAGACGAAGAAGAGAUAAUGCGCCGAAGAAGACGUGCUAGUUUGUCAAGACGGUUGCGUCACCCUUUUCUUUAUUUUGUGGUCCCGUCCGUCUAUUCUGGAGCUAUACGUGUCGCUCGCUAGUUUAAUGUAAUUUAGCGCUUCGUGCAUGAAUAAAAUUAACAUGAACAGACCCUCAUCACACUCGAAGAAAUGCAUAAAAGCGAUGACGAAAGAGAGACUGAGAAAGUGUGAGGCGAAGGAUAUCUAACGCUAUUCCAAUCGGACGCUGAGGAGGAAGGCUUCGAUGGUUUCAGUGCACUGGAGGAAGAUGAAGACGAUGAAGCUCUUUUUUUACUUUUACUGGUAUGUUUUUUAACGAGCCCUGUUGGUGCUGUACUACCGUGUUGCUGCUGUGUUACCGCCGCGUCUCAGUGACUUUUACCGGGUAUGUUUUUUUUAAUCCAGCCCUAUUAGUCUUGUGUUACUUCCGUGUUGCUGCGGUAUUACUGCCGCGGCACGGGCAGUGUUUGGAAAGAAAUGUUAAGGUAUGUUAUUAAAACUUUAAAAAAGCUUUAUGUGUACAGUCUUUCUUUGUUAAUAACUCGCGUGCACACUUCCGUGUUGCUGCGGUACUACUGCUGCGUCACAGGCAAUUUUUAGAAAGACAUGUUAAAGUAUGUUAUUAAAACUUUAAAAAGGCUUUCUGUGAACGGUCUUUCUUUGUAAAAAACGCAUGUGCACGUGCGUCUUAUAGUCCGGUGUGGCUUAUAUAAGAAAAAAACUAAAAUAUCCCCCAAUUUUAGCUGGUGCGCUUUAUAAUCCGGUGCGGUUUAUAGUCCGGAAUUUACGCUAUUUUGUUUUUAUCCCCGUUUCAGUGUCAAUAAGCAGCCUUAUUAUUCCCUCUUUUAUCAAAACUCCUCAGAUAUGUCCGCCCCAGCACCCAAACACACUUCCAUCCCUUUUGUCCCACACUCCACCAACUUUGUUUUAUUUAUUUGUAUUAUUUAUUAGUUAUUUUUUGUGCCUUCUUGUUUUUAUUUUGUGUCGUCUACUUGUAUGUUUAUCGUGUACUGUGUCUCGUCACCGUGGGAUGGAGGAAACGGUAUUUCGGUUUCUUUGCGUGUCUUGACAUAUGAAGGGAUUGACAAUAAAGCAGACUUUGACUUUUGACUUUUUUGUAAUGUUUCAGCAGUCUUUAGCAAUGUGUCCAGUUUGACUUCAUGUGACUCAUGCAAGUCUUUAGCAGCCUCUCCUCUUAGAUUCUCAUGAUGAUAAUUCAGGGCUAGAUCGUCCGCCACUCUCAAAUGCGUCCAUCUUGUCUUUGUUCUUUCAGUCCAUUUUCUUUUUGAUCUGCAACUGUGUUUAUUCCAACAACUGUAUGGUUCUUGUCCUGUGAAGAGCUGUGCUUGCCCCCUUCAAGCAUGAUAGUAGUUCCUGUUCUCCCAAAGGUCAAAGGUGUCUCAUGACCAGGGACAGUCCUCUGUUGAUUUUGAGACAGCCAGUGGAGUAAGAGGACUCAGUUCAGGAAUCGUGCCACGCGCUAGGGAAGAACACACUGGGACACAAUGUGUGUGUCAUGUGUCUAUGUGUCUAACGCAGCCUUAAUCAAAUGUGUUUGCAAACUGCCGAAAGUACAUUUCCCUUUACGCUCAACAGGUUAAACGCAACUCAUAACCACUGCUACCACUGACAAAAACACAUUGCUCACCCUAAUUUUUGUCUCUCUACCUCAGUGUGCUCUUCAUUCAGGUGUCUUGGAAACGUACUACAGCUAUCACAAUCCUGUUUUCUGUGUUUUGACCACUGAAAGGUAAGUCACAGCUAAAUCAUGUGGUUCAGCAUUUGCAAAAAGGAUGAAAUUAAAAUGUGAACGACGUGGUAAGUGUAUAAUAUUAGUGGUGGGAUGUGGUGGGUGAUUUGUUGCCUUUAUGGUAGAUGGGAUCUGGGGCGAAGGUUGCUCAAAAUGACAAAUGAAAGAAACCUUAAAAUUCAAAAUAAAAAAUAACUACACACCUACGUAUGUAUGACAUACUUUAUGUUUUCUGCAGAUAGUAUAAAUGUAGCUGACCUCAUGUCUAUGAUGGGAAGAUAGUCCUGUCGGUUGAGAUGGAAUAGUGUGGUUGGGGGUUGGUGAGGAAUCAAGCUGAGUUAAGGCAGUGCUUCUCAAAUAGUGGGGUGCGCCCAGCUAUACCUGGGGGGGCGCGUGUGACCCUGGGGAACAGGCUUUUAUUUUUGGUAGUACUAGAAUAAAGUGUAAUUGCGCAUCUACUACAGUAGGCGGCAGUUGCGCUCUCAUUGUUACUUCUGUCACGUUUGCGACAGUGCAACAUUUUAGGACUUACAAGACAACAGGUUUGCCUUGGUUAGCAGUGUUGAGUCAACAGAAAGCUCCGACUGCGUCCCGUCUAUAGCCUCCGUUAUUCAACAUAACAACCACCAACAUGAAAAUGUUUUUAACAGGGAUGAAAAGAAAAGCGGAGAGAAACAAAGAUAAUGAAACAAAAGAAAGUCAGCCGAAAGCUAAGACGAGGAAAUACGACGAAGCGUAUUUAGCGCUUGGCUUCACUGCGAGAACAGAAAACAGAUGAGGUAAGUUGCUCGUCAUGAAACAUGUUUUUUCCUUUCUUUCUAAAGACAGUAAAUGCUGCUAUUUCACUCUUUUGUAUUUUAACAGUUUUUAUCUGGCGAAAGCAGUUCAUCCCAGAAUGGAGGCCAGAGACCUUGAGCAUGCAAAAAUAUUCAUCAUGGACCAAUGACUCCCAAGCCAGAGUGGCAAGAAGCAGGACUUUUCAUUCCUCUUUUUUUUAUGUUGCAAUGUGGCUCCACAUGCUCCAUUUGUCUAGACCAGGGGUGUCAAACUCCUUUCCUUGGGGGCCGAAUCCCUACAUGUUUUCCAAGUUUCCCUUGUUAAACACACCUGAUUCAAAUGACCAGUUCGUCUUCACUUUCAGCAGGAGCCUAUGAUGGGAAGAUAGUCCUGUCGGUUGAGAUGGAAUAGUGGUUGGGGGUUGGUGAGGAAUCAAGUUGAGUUAAGGCAGUGCUUCUCAAAUAGUGGGGUGCGCCCUGCUAUACCUGGGGGGGCGCGUGUGACCCUGGGGAACAGGCUUUUAUUUUUGGUAGUACUAGAAUAAAGUGUAAUUGCGCAUCUACUACAGUAGGCGGCAGUUGCGCUCUCAUUGUUACUUCUGUCACGUUUGCGACAGUGCAACAUUUUACGACUUACAAGACAACAGGUUUGCCUUGGUUAGCAGUGUUGAGUCAACAGAAAGCUCCGACUGCGUCCCGUCUAUAGCCUCCGUUAUUCAACAUAACAACCACCAACAUGAAAAUGUUUUUAACAGGGAUGAAAAGAAAAGCGGAGAGAAACAAAGAUAAUGAAACAAAAGAAAGUCAGCCGAAAGCUAAGACGAGGAAAUACGACGAAGCGUAUUUAGCGCUUGGCUUCACUGUGAGUACAGUUGGAGAAUAUUAUUUAUUGAUUUGAUUUAAUUUUGCAAUGGUGCAAUUAGUUGGUCAAACAUGUUUACAGUUUAAACAAGGAUUUUUUUUUUUUAAUUUCAGGCAUUGAUGCACUUAAAUCUUUUCUGUUGCAGACUUAAAACAUGAUUUGAUAAAGUUAUUCUUUGUAGUUUGACUAUAUGUCUUUCUUUUUUUCUUUAAUGUAAGGAUAAAAUGUUAUGCAGAGAUGGAUAGUCACAGUGGGGAGUGGGGGGCGCGAAUAGUUUUCUUCUUGCUAGGGGGGGCGUAACACAAAAUAAUUGAGAAGCACUGAGUUAAGGGAAGGCAAAGGGUUUUUAAAAUUUCAAAAAGCCUUCCCUUAACUCAACUUUUUAAUUUUUAAAAAUGUUCCUUUGUUGUUUUUUAAUUUUAACUUUUGAAACUUUUUUUACAUUUUUAAACUAACUUAUGGUUGACAUAAGGGGAGACUUUUUAAAUUUUACAAUCAAAUUUUAAAGAAGAGUUAAAGGAAGGCCUUUUAAACUUUUUUAAUUAUAAUAAUUUUUUAAUUGUUUUGAAUUUUUAUUUUGAAUUUUUUUUAAUGUCAUAA